CGUAGGGUGCGAGCGUUAAUCGGAAUUACUGGGCGUAAAGCGUGCGCAGGCGGUUUUGCAAGCCGGAUGUGAAAUCCCCGGGCUUAACCUGGGAAUGGCAUUUGGGACUGCAAGGCUGGAGUGCGGCAGAGGAGACUGGAAUUCCUGGUGUAGCAGUGAAAUGCGUAGAUAUCAGGAGGAACACCGAUGGCGAAGGCAGGUCUCUGGGCUGACACUGACGCUCAUGCACGAAAGCGUGGGGAGCAAACAGGAUUAGAUACCCUGGUAGUCCACGCCCUAAACGAUGUCGACUGGUUGUUGGGGGUUUGACACCCUCAGUAACGAAGCUAACGCGUGAAGUCGACCGCCUGGGGAGUACGGCCGCAAGGUUA
rnacentral:rRNA from 1 species